GGUUGACCUCGGAUCAGGUAGGAAUACCCGCUGAACUUAAGCAUA
rnacentral:rRNA from 7 species